UACGAAGGGUGCAAGCGUUACUCGGAAUUACUGGGCGUAAAGCGUGCGUAGGUGGUUGCUUAAGUCUGUUGUGAAAGCCCUGGGCUCAACCUGGGAAUUGCAGUGGAUACUGGGCGACUAGAGUGUGGUAGAGGGUAGUGGAAUUCCCGGUGUAGCAGUGAAAUGCGUAGAGAUCGGGAGGAACAUCCAUGGCGAAGGCAGCUACCUGGACCAACACUGACACUGAGGCACGAAAGCGUGGGGAGCAAACAGG
rnacentral:rRNA from 1 species